rnacentral:lncRNA from 1 species
CUGUUUUAUCUCACCAUGCCCAGAUUCCGGGAAUCCUAAGGUAAUCCCUCAUCUAGAAGAGUGCCUUUUCAGGAAUUAAUUCUGCUGUUAGAGAAGUACCUAUGUCUUCAGAGAAUGUAAAGAAAGAUUAAUGAUUCACCCGAAGUUCGACAUUAUGUAUAACUCAGAACUCUUCACAGCAACUUUCAAAUAAGAUUAUCAGAACUUCUUGCAUGGAUUGGCACAGGACUCUGGGAUAAAUUAUCCUGGUAAGAAUUUUGAGACUUACUACUCUGGACAAGAAAGAUAAACUACAGAGGAUGCUGGCUUCCUCCCCAAACUGAACACUAUAGAUGCUACAUAAGAGAGAGAGGAGAAAGAUGGGUCCACUGAACUAACAUGAUAACUGGAUUUCUGCAGGGAGGAAAGGCAGACGUGGUUUGUUGUGAAGGAGACAAGCAGCCUGCAGGAGAGACAGGAAUCAGGUAACACUGUUGGAGCGAGGCUGGCAGAGGAGGUUUUAAUUCUUUAGUUUCAUUUUUUGGUGAGAGAGAAUAGAAGCAUCCUACAUGGCCACCUAUUGUCCAAGGAAUAACCUCAGUACAGUCCCAACAAGAGUAACGAGAUGACGGAAACAAGUCCGACAAGGGAAUACUAAAUUAUCCCUACUUCUCCUGUUCUUGUCCCCACAAUUGCUCCAGGAACUAGUAGGUUAUCUCCACCAUCUUCUAAGAUGAUUAUUUUAGAAUUACCCGAUGAAUUUAAUGGCAAUUCCUAAGGGACGUCAUUUUCCUGGUAGCAUGUAGUAGCAAUGUCUGAGGCAUUCACGAAAACUGUAGUAAGCCUCAAAGGAAGCUUUAAUACCUUCCCAAAAGCGCAAUAUCACAUUGUCUGUAUUUUCUAUGGUAGAGGAAAACUUGAAAUUAAUAAAAAGUAGCCAGAAAAAGAAACUUUUUGUUCUUAAAACUAAUACGCUUUCCUCUGUCUGAUAUGUUUAUUUUUAUUGAGUAUAAUUUGUUCAUAUCCAUCCAUUAAUUUUCAUGACUGUAUGAUACCUGGAUAAUAUUGCAUAAGGAUAUACUAAUAUACGUGAGAAUGAAGUGGUUUAAGAAACCCUCUUCCAAAGAGCCUCAAGUAACCAGCAGCCUGGGCGACAGAGCGAGACUCCGUCUCAAAAAAAAAAAAAAAAAA